rnacentral:lncRNA from 1 species
GCAUUUUAUGUGACCUUUAAUCUUCAUAACCAUUUUAUGUCCUAGGAAUUAUUAUAUCAAUUUUGUAGAUGAAGAAAUGGAAAUUCACAAAGCUUAAGCAACUUGAGGUGUUUAAUAGUGAGUAAUAUGGAGGUGGGAUUUGAACCUAUAUCUGACUGAUGAGAUCUGUGCUUCUGACCGUUUUACUCUACUAUCAAUAGCAAUUGGCUUUCAUCUCCUCUAGACACUCUUAUAGUCUGGCUUGACUGUUCCCUGGGCUGGGCAUGUGCCCUAUACCUGACCAACCAGAGAUCAUUGUAGGACAGAAG